GGCAGACUUUGCUCUCUGCACUGUGCUGUGAAAUGGGGUAGUGAGGAGAAGCGGAGAAGGGGAAAUGAAAGAAGGAAAAUCUUGAAAUCACUAUGAAGUUAAAGAUUGGUGUCAGGAAGGAGAUGGAUGCAUGGAGGACAGAGAAAGAAAGAAUUAUUGAAACAUUAUAAAGAAACAUAAACUGGAAAAACUUCUAUCCAUGGCACAAAAGAAAAGUGCUCUCAGGCCUGUCCUGUGGUUCACCUCAUCUCCUGUUUGGCCAUACGGGGAAGGCAGUGAGUCUCCUGCACAGUCAUAGCUCUGAACACCAGGACAAGGGAGCAGCAGGUGAGAUUUGCAGGUUCAGGCUGCAGAUCUGGCUGCACAUUGGAAGGGGCUUUGGAGGACAUUUGCUGUUUCUGAGGCCAUCAACGAUCACGUUCCUCCAGUUUCCUUCUGGUUUCUGCUCUUUCUUGGGGUUAAUAUUGCAGUAGGGAAGAAUAAAAGGCCCUUUCUAUCUUCAGGAUCUAAAAUGAAGGAACUGAACAGACAGAAAAUUACAAACUUCAUUUUAGAAUUAUUAAUGGUUGAAUUUACUGAACUCUUGGCCUUAAGGAACAAUAUCCAAACAGGUGCUGCCCAGGCAGAAGUCUGUGUUUGAAUGGGCUGUGUGCACACAGAGUGUCUCUGCAGCAUCCCUGGAAGGGCAGCAUUG